rnacentral:rRNA from 1 species
AUUGAACGCUGGCGGCAGGCUUAACACAUGCAAGUCGAGCGGGGUGAUGGUGCUUGCACUAUCACUUAGCGGCGGACGGGUGAGUAAUGCUUAGGAAUCUGCCUAUUAGUGGGGGACAACAUCUCGAAAGGGAUGCUAAUACCGCAUACGUCCUACGGGAGAAAGCAGGGGAUCACUUGUGACCUUGCGCUAAUAGAUGAGCCUAAGUCGGAUUAGCUAGUUGGUGGGGUAAAGGCCUACCAAGGCGACGAUCUGUAGCGGGUCUGAGAGGAUGGUCCGCCACACUGGGACUGAGACACGGCCCAGACUCCUACGGGAGGCAGCAGUGGGGAAUAUUGGACAAUGGGGGGAACCCUGAUCCAGCCAUGCCGCGUGUGUGAAGAAGGCCUUAUGGUUGUAAAGCACUUUAAGCGAGGAGGAGGCUCUUUUGGUUAAUACCCAGAAUGAGUGGACGUUACCCGCAGAAUAAGCACCGGCUAACUCUGUGCCAGCCGCCGCAGUAA